UACGUAGGGUGCGAGCGUUGUCCGGAAUUAUUGGGCGUAAAGGGCUCGUAGGCGGUUUGUCGCGUCGGGGAGUGAAAACACCGGGCUUAACUCGGUGCUUGCUUUCGAUACGGGCAGACUAGAGGUAUGCAGGGGGAGAACGGAAUUCCUGGUGUAGCGGUGAGAUGCGCAGAUAUCAGGAGGAACACCGGUGGCGAAGGCGGAUCUCUGGGCCUUACCUGACGCUGAGGCACGAAGGUCAGGGGAGCAAACGGG
rnacentral:rRNA from 1 species